GACGAACGCUGGCGGCGUGCCUAAUACAUGCAAGUCGAACGAGUGGCGGACGGGUGCGUAACACGUGGGAACCUACCCAUCAGAGGGGGAUAACACUUGGAAACAGGUGCUAAUACCGCAUAUUGAUGGAUGGACCCGCGGUGCAUUAGCGAGUUGGUGAGGUAACGGCUCACCUAGGCGACGGUCCCUAGCGGGGCUGAGAGGAUGACCAGCCACACGGGAACUGAGACACGGGCCAGACUCCUACGGGAGGCAGCAGUGGGGAAUAUUGCACAAUGGGCGCAAGCCUGAUGCAGCCAUGCCGCGUGUAUGAAGAAGGCCUUCGGGUUGUAAAGUACUUGCAGCGAGGAGGCGUUACUCGCAGAAGAAGCACCGGCUAACUCCGUGCCAGCCGCCGCGGUAAUUC
rnacentral:rRNA from 1 species